rnacentral:rRNA from 1 species
CGUGUAGGCGGAUUGGUGCGUCGGCGCCUGAAAUCCCCCGGCUCAACCGGGGAACGUGGCCCGAAACGACCAGUCUGGAGGGGCGUAGGGGGAACUGGAACUUCCGGUGGAGCGGUGAUAUGCGUUGAGAUCGGAAGGAACGCCCGUGGCGAAAGCGAGUUCCUGGACGCCUGCUGACGCUGAGACGCGAAAGCCAGGGUAGCGAACA